rnacentral:rRNA from 1 species
CCCUUAGAUGUCCUGGGCCGCACGCGCGUUACACUGAUGCAUUCAACGAGCUUAUAACCUUGGCCGAGAGGCCUGGGCAAUCUUGUUAACGUGCAUCGUGAUAGGGAUAGAUUAUUGAAAUUAUUAAUCUUGAACGAGGAAUUCCUAGUAAACGCAGAUCAUCAAUCUGCAUUGAUUACGUCCCUGCCCUUUGUACACACCGCCCGUCGCUCCUACCGAUUGGAUGAUCCGGUGAGCUAUUCGGACCUUCGCUUCGUCGAUUUUCGGCUUUGUGAGGGAAAGUCUCGCGAACCUUAUCAUCUAGAGGAAGGAGAAGCCGUAACA